rnacentral:rRNA from 1 species
CUGAACAACCGGUCUUAGCACCGGGGACUCGUCUUUGAAGUGCUUUUAAAAAAUGUCAGUGCUCAAAACUUGCGCUGGCCUUGAAUACUACUGCAUGGAAUAUAACAAUAGGACUCCGGUUCUGUUUUGUUGGUUUUCGAAACACCCUGAAAUGAUUAUAAGGGACAGAGGGGGCAUUCAUAUUGCGACUUUCCAAGUGAAAUUCUUGGAACGUCGCGAGAAAGACAACUGCGAAAGCUUUUGCUAAGAAUCACUAUCGGAAUGAGAACAAUUUAAAUCCUUUAACGAGGAUCUAGCGGAGGGCAAGUCUGGUGCCAGCAGCCGCGGUAAUUCCAGCUCCGCCAGUGUAUAUCUAUGCUGCUGCGGUUAAAAAG